rnacentral:rRNA from 1 species
UGCCAGCCGCCGCGGUAAUACGGAGGGUCCGAGCGUUGUUCGGAAUCACUGGGCGUAAAGCGCGUGUAGGCGGCCGGGAAAGUCGGAUGUGAAAGCCCGAGGCUCAACCUCGGAACUGCCCUUGAUACUGGUAGUCUUGAGUUCGAGAGAGGUGAGUGGAAUUCCGAGUGUAGAGGUGAAAUUCGUAGAUAUUCGGAGGAACACCAGUGGCGAAGGCGGCUCACUGGCUCGAUACUGACGCUGAGGUGCGAAAGCGUGGGGAGCAAACAGGAUUAGAUA